GACGAACGCUGGCGGCGUGCUUAACACAUGCAAGUCGAACGGAAAGGCCCUGCUUUUGUGGGGUGCUCGAGUGGCGAACGGGUGAGUAACACGUGAGUAACCUGCCCUUGACUUUGGGAUAACUUCAGGAAACUGGGGCUAAUACCGGAUAGUAGCUCCUGCUGCAUGGUGGGGGUUGGAAAGUUUCGGCGGUUGGGGAUGGACUCGCGGCUUAUCAGCUUGUUGGUGGGGUAGUGGCUUACCAAGGCUUUGACGGGUAGCCGGCCUGAGAGGGUGACCGGCCACAUUGGGACUGAGAUACGGCCCAGACUCCUAAGGGAGGCAGCAGUGGGGAAUAUUGCACAAUGGGCGGAAGCCUGAUGAAGCAACGCCGCGUGCGGGAUGACGGCCUUAGGGUUGUAAACCGCUUUCGCCUGUGACGAAGCGUGAGUGACGGUAAUGGGUAAAGAAGCACCGGCUAACUACGUG
rnacentral:rRNA from 1 species